rnacentral:rRNA from 1 species
GACGGACGGUGCAAGCGUUGCUCGGAAUCACUGGGCGUAAAGGGUGCGUAGGCGGCCGUGUAAGUCUGGCGUGAAAGCCCCGGGCUCAGCCCGGGAAGUGCGCUCGAAACUGCGCGGCUCGAGUGCCGGAGGGGAGAGUGGAAUUCCUGGUGUAGCGGUGAAAUGCGUAGAUAUCAGGAGGAAUACCGGUGGCGAAAGCGACUCUCUGGACGGCAACUGACGCUGAGGCACGAAAGCGUGGGGAGCAAACAGG